rnacentral:rRNA from 1 species
GACGAACGCUGGCGGCGUGCCUAAUACAUGCAAGUAGAACGCACAUUUUAUACCGUAGCUUGCUACACCAUAGACUGUGAGUUGCGAACGGGUGAGUAACGCGUAGGUAACCUGCCUGGUAGCGGGGGAUAACUAUUGGAAACGAUAGCUAAUACCGCAUAAUAUUAAUUAUUGCAUGAUAAUUAAUUGAAAGGUGCAAUUGCACCACUACCAGAUGGACCUGCGUUGUAUUAGCUAGUAGGUGAGGUAACGGCUCACCUAGGCGACGAUACAUAGCCGACCUGAGAGGGUGAUCGGCCACACUGGGACUGAGACACGGCCCAGACUCCUACGGGAGGCAGCAGUAGGGAAUCUUCGGCAAUGGACGAAAGUCUGACCGAGCAACGCCGCGUGAGUGAAGAAGGGUUUCGGAUCGUAAAGCUCUGUUGUAAGAGAAGAACGGGUGUGAGAGUGGAAAGUUCACACUGUGACGGUAUCUUACCAGAAAGGGACGGCUAACUACGUG